GCGGGCAUAGCUCAGUCCGGUAGAGCGCUACCCUUCCAAGGUAGAUGUCACGGGUUCAAAUCCCGAGGCCCGCC
rnacentral:tRNA from 1 species